rnacentral:rRNA from 1 species
CGAGCGGUGUUCUUGGAAGCUUGCUUUCAUGAACACAGCGGCGGACGGGUGAGUAACACGUAGGCAACCUGCCCUUUAGACUGGGAUAACUACCGGAAACGGUAGCUAAUACCGGAUAAUUUCUUUUUCUCCUGAAGGAAGAAUGAAAGGCGGAGCAAUCUGUCACUAAGGGAUGGGCCUGCGGCGCAUUAGCUAGUUGGUGGGGUAACGGCCCACCAAGGCGACGAUGCGUAGCCGACCUGAGAGGGUGAACGGCCACACUGGGACUGAGACACGGCCCAGACUCCUACGGGAGGCAGCAGUAGGGAAUCUUCCGCAAUGGGCGAAAGCCUGACGGAGCAACGCCGCGUGAGUGAUGAAGGUUUUCGGAUCGUAAAGCUCUGUUGCCAGGGAAGAACGUCCGGUAGAGUAACUGCUACCGGAGUGACGGUACCUGAGAAGAAAGCCCCGGCUAACUACGUGCCAGCAGCCGCGGUAAUACGUAGGGGGCAAGCGUUGUCCGGAAUUAUUGGGCGUAAAGCGCGCGCAGGCGGCUAUUUAAGUCUGGUGUUUAAACCUUGGGCUCAACCUGAGGUCGCACUGGAAACUGGGUGGCUUGAGUAC